rnacentral:rRNA from 1 species
AUUGAACGCUGGCGGCAGGCCUAACACAUGCAAGUCGAGCGGGAACUUCGGUUCUAGCGGCGGACGGGAGAGUAAUGCGUAGGAAGCUACCCGACAGAGGGGGAUACCAGUUGGAAACGACUGUUAAUACCGCAUAAUGUCUACGGACCAAAGUGUGGGACCUUCGGGCCACAUGCUGUCGGAUGCGCCUCCGUGGGAUUAGCUAGUUGGUGAGGUAAUGGCUCACCAAGGCGACGAUCCCUAGCUUGUUUGAGAGGAUGAUCAGCCACACUGGAACUGAGACACGGUCCAGACUCCUACGGGAGGCAGCAGUGGGGAAUAUUGGACAAUGGGCGAAAGCCUGAUCCAGCCAUGCCGCGUGUGUGAAGAAGGCCUUCGGGUUGUAAAGCACUUUCAGUAGGGAGGAAGAGUUGAGUGUUAAUAGUACUCAGCUUUGACGUUACCUACAGAAGAAGCACCGGCUAACUCUGUGCCAGCAGCCGCGGUAAUAC